CUCCGCAGCCCCCACAGCCUGGACCCUGCGGUUUUCUCCCCCGCCUCAGCCGAGCCACCAGCACCACACCAGCAGCACAGCGCAGCGCAGCGCAGGAUGCCGCAGCCCCACCACAUCGCCCUGCUCGCAGGGGCAGGGCUGGGAGCUGCCGCAGCCGGGUAUCGCUCCCGCUCCCUCCGGGACAUUUCGGCUGAAAUGCUGGGACAGCUGCCGGCACAUUCAGCACCCACAGAGCCGCCUUCGUUUGCCUUUUGGAGCAAUUACCCCUAAACGAGGACAAUCCCAAACUUCCCUGCCUGGCUGCACUGUGGAGCUCCUGACCACGGGGACCCGGUUUCUCCCAGCACCGUGUAACCGCAGCUGCCCCGGCCCUGCUCACGGCGCCUCCCGGAGCCACCCGGCCACAGAGCCGGCACCGCGCCCCUCCACAGGAGGACCCUGCCCAGCCCCUGCGCGCCCCGUGCCCAGCUCUCUCGGUGCCGUUUUGUGACCGUUCGGGAUUUUUUUAAGCGCCCAAACCCGGCCCCGCGGGCUCCUCGGGAACCGGAGCAGGACCCGGCCCCGCGGCCAUGCAGCUCCCACAGACCCUGCUGGGAUCCGGGGCCUCGGCGGGGCGCGGCUCGGCGCUGCCCCGGGACGGCCUCUGCCCCCCGGAGCCAACGGAGCCCCCGGACCGCUCCAAGCAGUAACGACGCAGAGAGAACCGGAUCACCGGGAUAACCGGGAUAACCGGAUAACCAAAUAACCAAAUAACCGGAUAACCGAAAACCAGGAUAACCGGGUAACCGGGUAACCCAGCUCGCUGCUCCCCGGCCGGUCCCCCCUUUACCGCCGCAGGGAGCCCCUGCCUCGCCCGGGAACCGAGAAGGAAAAUGGACGGGACGGGACCGGGACCGGGACCAGGACGGGACCGGGCCUCGGCCGAGGCCGCCCGGGCGGAGGCUCCGGGACACGGAACCCGCGCGGUGCCCGCCCCCGGGACCGGCCCAGGGGGACGCGGCCCGCGCAGCGCCCCAGGUACGGGGGGCUCCGGGGGCUCCGGUAGCGGCCUCGCCGCCUCCCAAGGCCCGGCCCGGCC
rnacentral:lncRNA from 1 species